AUGUGUCCUAGAAAAACGACAGUAGUUGGUAGGCAUGUUCAGAGCACUGAUGAAAUUGCGUGAAACACUGCCACCUAGCGGCACGCCAGACCAUCUGCUUCUACUUUCCCCACAGAAUUACCCCCUGAGGGUAAUCACCAUUCGCAGCGUUCCGCUCAGCACACCUGAGAGUUCAUUAGCAAGAAGAAAAUGUGACUUGCUGAAAGGCAUGCUAAUUUCCCUCAGGAAAUCUGAAUCCCUGCGGCAAUCUCACAGCUCUUUUUGCCGACACACUUAAACAAACACUUUGAUGAGAGGGGGAAAAGGCCUGCGAUAAUGCUGUGAUAAUGGAUCACAGGACAAUACAGUAAGGCUCAUAUAUAUGAUAAGCUGACUGUGUGUCUGUUUGAGUCAGAGAGAACAGAUGGCAGGAGAAUGAUGUUUGAGAGAAAAUGAGAAUGAUAGUGUGCCUGUGUGAGUUUUCGAUUCAGAGAGAGAAAAAACAGAUGGCAGCAGUGCUAGUGUGACUGCCCACUUUAGCUAGCUUCUGAUAACACGCAUGCACUCACUGCUGUCUGACCCACAGCCUGUUCAACAGAGGACCUUUCUGAGUGAGUCUGAUGAUGAUUACUUAACACCUGACUUGAAACGAGACCUUUGACAACUGGAGCUGCUUCAAGGGCUGAUGUGUUGAAUUGUGUGUUAAAAUCCUCAAGAUCUGGAACAUUCUCUCUUAAGAAGUCGGUCAUGACAGACUGGCCCUAGAACAGAUCUCACUUGGAUCGACACCAGAACCAUCCCUUCUGGACUACACUGCUAUUACACUUACAAAUGGUGCAUCAGUAGUGCAGCUACUUUUAUAUGAAGUUGUGCUUUUUAAAAGUACUAUUAGACAUUCUGUGCUUAAUACUUACUUCAGUAGCCGUCUUAUAGAAAUACAUAUAAUUACGGGAUGUACUUAUGGUUAGGGUAAGAUUCUGGUUAGAUCUGGAGGAGCGAGGUGAAGGUCCACAGUGUAUAUUCAAGAUUAGACCAUUAUCGUUGGUCUAGAGGCAUCUUCCUUUUUUAGGAACAGAAACUACAAAGACUACACCUGACCUUGAGGUAAUGCUCAAUGGCUGCCACCAGCAUACGAUCUUGGUGUAUGUGUUUUAACGUUCAGUAGUGGGGGCAGAGUGACUACUGUUCUUGAGGCCAAAUCAACACCCGAAAGCAACAGAAUGGUGCUCUCAGACUUAUGCAUCCUGUGGUAUUUAAUUUGUGUCAUUCAGUGCAUUCUGUCAUAGUUCAUCUGGUUUUUAGCAUUUUGUGUGUUAAGUUGGCAGGCCUGCACCCUCUUCAUGUUGCAGAAAACUGAGUUGGGAAUUAUUUCGAAGAAUUCAAAUAAACUGAAAAAAAACCCCUAUGACUUCACUGCAGGCUGUUCAAUUAAAAGCUGAAAAUAAGAUCCAGGGAGCCCAAGGGGCCCCUGGGAGCCCAGGGAGUUUGUGUAGGUUUUCAACUUUACGAGCGCAGGACUGUCUGUGUGCGUCACAUCUUCCAAUGUAUGAGCGUGCCUGUGUAUGUCUGAGUGUUAGCCUGGAGCCGUGUGGAUGUGUGUGGAUAGGUUGAAUGUAUGUGUGUUUCUUAGUAAAAGUGUGAUUCAGUGGCCUAGUCUGUAACUUUGGAUCCACUUUGAGCUGUGGUGAACGUUUAUGUGGUGUGUGUGUGUGUGUGUGUGAUUGUGUGUUUCCUUUAGCAAAAGGACAGCAAGCUGGGGAACAGUGGAGUGCUGAGAACACACAGCAGAGAGAUAACGAGGGAGAAAAAGAGAGAGUGAAAGACGGAGAGAAAGACGGAGAGAAAGACAGAGCGAGAGAGAGUGCAGCUGGGUAGCAGUGGCACACACACUUGGGGCCCCUCUGGGGCCGACGACACCCCCACCUUCAACACAGCAGCAGCCGAGAAGGCAGCGGAAGAGCAGCCAGACUCAAGUCACAGCGGAAAAAAAGAAAACAAACAGCAACAACAACUAAA